AUGAGUUCCGGGUCGGCGGUGACGGCGGGCGGCAGCGCCGGCGCGGAGGGCGCGGCGCUGGGGCAGAAGCUGAUGGUGCACGUGGCGGAGAACGGCCACAGCAUGGAGUUCGAGUGCGGGGGCGGCACGCGAGUCGAGGCCAUCCAGCGCGCCAUCGAGCACGUCUGCGGCGUCCCGCCCGCCGACCAGCUCCUCCUCUGCGGCAACAUCCCUCUCGACGGCGCCAACCACCUCGCCCACUACAACCUCCCCCGCGACGACCGCGAGGUCUUCCUCUACAACAAGGCCCGCCUCCAUGCCGACUCGCCUCCACCGGCGCCGGAGUCUAUCGACAUCCCUGAGCCAUCUAUUCCGCCGCCGCCCCGGCCGCAGGACACCGCACUGGAGGUGUCUGCUGACCCGGCCUUGAAGGCGCUGGUGUCUUACGAAGUCAGGUUCAGGUAUGACUUCCAGGUGGCCAACGCGCUGUACCAAUCUAGCGUGGCCAAGUACGAGGUGUGCAGGAGGCUGCUGCGGGAGUGGCAGGUGCAGGAGCGUGCUCUGGACAUGGCUAGGAGCAACCUGGAGCAAGCAUUCCGUAAGCCCUCACUGCGCUAUUCAAAUUUCAUGCGGUCCUUUGCUCAGCAGCACCGUGGAUAUGUCGAAGUUCUGUCAACCUUCGAGAGAGAUGUGCAGAGGUUGCGUGCUAUUAAGCUGCAUCCACACCUUCAAUGUGAGGGCAGACGGUGCUUGCUGGACCUUAUGGAUGAGAAUAGACUGAGGAAGCUGGCAGAUGAGUACUUAAGCUCACAGAAGGGUUUUGAGGAUUUUGUCUCGCCGCUGAAGGCAAAAUUUCUGGAGUUAAAGAGGAGGGUGGAGAGCUUGUUGAACUCUAUGAGCUCGAGUGCAUGGAAGGAUCUGGAGGCGCUGAUAAAGGAGCAUCAUAGAGUCAUCGGUGACCAGAAGAGCAUCAUGCAGUCUCUAAGUAAAGAUGUGGAUACAUCAAAGAAGCUUGUUGAUGAAUGCUCAAGGAGCCAGCUGUCCGCUUCUGUCCGACCUCAUGAUGCAGUUUCAGCAGUUGGUCGUAUCUAUGAGGUACAUGAAAAGGAUAAUUUGCCCAGCGUACGUAAGUUUGAUCGCAUGCUUACAAACUUGCUUCAGAGAUGCAAGACCAAGAAAAACGAAACAAAUAAUCUAGUACAUGUUUGCGUGAAAGGGGUCAAAUCUGCUCAAAUUGAUAUCAAGGACAUGAUGAUGAGUCAGUUCAUUUUAUACGAAGAGGCAAUAGAUAGUCGAGACAAAGAAUUUUCUUAUCUGAAACUACUGGGUGGCUUGGGCCAUGCAUACAAGGCUUGUCUUGCCGAGGUCGUGCGAAGAAGGCAUUCUUUCAAGCUGUAUACUGGCUUGGCUGGACAGCUUGCUGAAAAACUAGCAGCAGAGCGUGAAGUGGAGAUAAGGAGACGCGAGGUUUUCCUUCGUACAUGGCGUAAGUACAUUCGAGGAGAAAUCAUGGGUUCCAUGGGGCUGUUUGGUUCACCUAGCCAGUGUGAUGUAAACAUUGCACCGUUUGAUUGCGAUCUACUUCCAAUUGAUGUUGAUGAUCUGGAAAAGCUCGCCCCCCGUUCUUUAGUGGGGUCUCUUUCGAAACCUGAGAGAUCACAGCAACAUAAGUCUUCAUCAAGUGAUUCUAGUACCACUGGAAAUUUCACUAACGCCGAACAAAACAGUCUGAAUACUGAUGGCCAAAUGGAUUCCCAGGAUUUUUUUGGGGGCUGUGAUACUGUUGAUAUAACAGGGACUAGUGUAUUAGAAGUGGAGAACGCCAGAUUAAAAGCAGAACUCGCUUCUGCAAUUGCAGUUCUCUGCACUUUUGGUGCUGAAUACGCACAUGAAUCUAUUGAUGAAGGGCAGAAUGAUGAUGUGUUGAGAAAUGCAAGAGAGAAAACAUCUCAGGCACUUUCCGCGAAGGAUGAAUAUGCCAACCAGCUUCAGUCAGUGUUGAAAGCAAAGCAGGAGCAGUGCUUGUCCUUUGAAAAGCGUAUACAGGAGCUUGAGGAACAAUUAGCGAAUCAGUACAUACACGGGCAAAUGGUUUCAGGAAGCAAAAGCGCAUCAGAUUCCCUCCUUUCUACAUUUAAAGGUAAUGACUGCAACCUGGAUGGAGGUAGGCAAACCCAUCUGCGUGACGAAUCAAGUGUGGCCAUGGAUGAGACAUCAUCAACAUCUGAACAGCCAUCUAAACAAACAGAAGGUGGCGAUGAGAAUAUGACUGACGUUUCAGGCGCACUGAACUUGCAAUUACUUAACUCAGCAGGAUGCGGUAAUCUGGAUGCUCCCAUGGCAGAAUUUUCACGUGAUAAUGAACAUAAGGUUGUCAAUAUUGAUAAGGAAGGGCAGAUGUUGACUCAGCUCACUAUGGUGGAUACUUCGGAUAUUCCUGUAGAAGGUCCUCUUGGCAUCUUAAACUCCAAAACCAAUGAACAUCAUACUUUGGAGUUUAGGAAUAACGAGCUCUUUGUGUCAGAGUUGCAAAACACAAUAGAUAAAAAAUCAAAACAGUUGGAUGAGGCAGAAAGUAAACUUAGUUCUGUGAUGGGCGAAGUUAACUCUCUGAAGGAAGAACUUGAAAAUGCCCGUGUUCUACUUGACGAGUCUCAGAUUAAUUGUGCGCACCUGGAAAACUGCUUGCAUGAGGCAAGGGAAGAGGCUCGUACCAACAAAUGUUCCGCUGAUAGAAGGGCUGUUGAGUAUGAUGCUUUGAGGUCAUCUGCUCUGAGGAUACAUGGUCUGUUUGAAAGGCUAAAUAACUGCGUCACCGCACCGGGCAUGUCUGGCUUUGCAGACUCUCUGCGUUCUUUAGCCCUCUCCUUAGCAAGUUCUGUAAAGAAGGAUGAAGCUGAUUCUACCACUCAGUUCCAGCAAUGCAUUAAGAUCCUUGCAGACAAGGUUAGUUUCCUGUCACGGCAGAGUGAGGAGCUGAUAGAACGCUACUCAAGGGUGGAAGCAGCACAUGGUAUUCUUAUAAAAGAGUUGGAGGAGAAGAAAACACUGGUCAACAAUCUAUAUAGUAAAUUUCAACUGGAAAAACAGGCCAGCAAGGAGAAGAUAUCGGUUGGGCAUUUCGACGUCCACGAGCUUGCGGUGUUUGUCCGGAACCCUGCUGGGCACUACGAGGCGAUCAACCGGAGCCGGUCGAACUACUACCUCUCUGAGGAGUCGGUGGCCCUGUUCACAGAGCCCCACCUUCCUCGGCAGCCUGCCUACAUAAUCGGCCAGAUCGUGCACAUUGAGCGGCGCGCGGUAAAGCACACUGACCAGAACGAAGCCUCGUUGCGCCCUGGCGGCCAUCGGCGGUCAGCGCUGAACAGCAACCCUUAUGGCCUGCCGGCGGGCCGCGAGUACUUCGUGGUGACGGUGGCGAUGCUGCCUGACACUGCUGCCACUGCUCGUUGA
rnacentral:rRNA from 1 species